GACGAACGCUGGCGGCGUGCCUAAUACAUGCAAGUAGAACGCUGAAGCUUGGUGCUUGCACCGAGCGGAUGAGUUGCGAACGGGUGAGUAACGCGUAGGUAACCUGCCUGGUAGCGGGGGAUAACUGUUGGAAACGAUAGCUAAUACCGCAUAAUAGUAGAUGUUGCAUGACAUUUGCUUAAAAGGUGCAAUUGCAUCACUACCAGAUGGACCUGCGUUGUAUUAGCUAGUUGGUGAGGUAACGGCUCACCAAGGCAACGAUACAUAGCCGACCUGAGAGGGUGAUCGGCCACACUGGGACUGAGACACGGCCCAGCCUCCUACGGGAGGCAGCAGUAGGGAAUCUUCGGCAAUGGACGGAAGUCUGACCGAGCAACGCCGCGUGAGUGAAGAAGGUUUUCGGAUCGUAAAGCUCUGUUGUAAGAGAAGAACGAGUGUGAGAGUGGAAAGUUCACACUGUGACGGUAUCUUACCAGAAAGGGACGGCUAACUACGUG
rnacentral:rRNA from 1 species